rnacentral:ncRNA from 1 species
UUAACGGCGAUGAAUGAGAGGAGUAGGCGGUAUCGGCUUAAAAGAGAGGAAAGCUCGCAGGCUGAAAGGCUUUCUUAAGAACGGCCGCUGAAGGUAGCUCAGGAGCUUUUCGGGUAUGCCCGUUAUUGCUAAAGAGUGCCUGAACGGAAAUAAGGUGGUACCGCGGAGCCUUUCGCCCUUAAU